UACGGAGGGUGCAAGCGUUAUCCGGAUUCACUGGGCUUAAAGGGUGCGUAGGUGGUUCGGUAAGUCCGUGGUGAAAUCCCCGAGCUUAACUCGGGAACUGCCGUGGAUACUAUCGAUCUUGAAUACUGUGGAGGUAAGCGGAAUAUGUCAUGUAGCGGUGAAAUGCUUAGAUAUGACAUAGAACACCAAUUGCGAAGGCAGCUCACUACGCGAAUAUUGACACUGAGGCACGAAAGCGUGGGGAUCAAACAGG
rnacentral:rRNA from 1 species